rnacentral:rRNA from 1 species
GAAUUCGCCCUUAGAGUUUGAUCCUGGCUCAGGACGAACGCUGGCGGCGCGCCUAACACAUGCAAGUCGAACGAGCGAGAGAGAGCUUGCUUUCUCGAGCGAGUGGCGAACGGGUGAGUAACGCGUGAGGAACCUGCCUCAAAGAGGGGGACAACAGUUGGAAACGACUGCUAAUACCGCAUAAGUCCACAGCUCGGCAUCGAGCAGAGGGGAAAGGAGCAAUCCGCUUUGAGAUGGCCUCGCGUCCGAUUAGCUAGUUGGUGAGGUAACGGCCCACCAAGGCGACGAUCGGUAGCCGGACUGAGAGGUUGAACGGCCACAUUGGGACUGAGACACGGCCCAGACUCCUACGGGAGGCAGCAGUGGGGAAUAUUGCACAAUGGGGGAAACCCUGAUGCAGCGACGCCGCGUGGAGGAAGAAGGUCUUCGGAUUGUAAACUCCUGUUGUUGGGGAAGAUAAUGACGGUACCCAACAAGGAAGUGACGGCUAACUACGUGCCAGCAGCCGCGGUAAAACGUAGGUCACAAGCGUUGUCCGGAAUUACUGGGUGUAAAGGGAGCGCAGGCGGGAAGACAAGUUGGAAGUGAAAUCUAUGGGCUCAACCCAUAAACUGCUUUCAAAACUGUUUUUCUUGAGUAGUGCAGAGGUAGGCGGAAUUCCCGGUGUAGCGGUGGAAUGCGUAGAUAUCGGGAGGAACACCAGUGGCGAAGGCGGCCUACUGGGCACCAACUGACGCUGAGGCUCGAAAGUGUGGGUAGCAAACAGGAUUAGAUACCCUGGUAGUCCACACCGUAAACGAUGAUUACUAGGUGUUGGAGGAUUGACCCCUUCAGUGCCGCAGUUAACACAAUAAGUAAUCCACCUGGGGAGUACGACCGCAAGGUUGAAACUCAAAGGAAUUGACGGGGGCCCGCACAAGCAGUGGAGUAUGUGGUUUAAUUCGACGCAACGCGAAGAACCUUACCAAGUCUUGACAUCCCUUGACAGGCAUAGAAAUAUGUUUUCUCUUCGGAGCAAGGAGACAGGUGGUGCAUGGUUGUCGUCAGCUCGUGUCGUGAGAUGUUGGGUUAAGUCCCGCAACGAGCGCAACCCUUAUGGUCAGUUACUACGCAAGAGGACUCUGGCCAGACUGCCGUUGACAAAACGGAGGAAGGUGGGGAUGACGUCAAAUCAUCAUGCCCUUUAUGACUUGGGCUACACACGUACUACAAUGGCGUUAAACAAAGAGAAGCAAGACCGCGAGGUGGAGCAAAACUCAGAAACAACGUCCCAGUUCGGACUGCAGGCUGCAACUCGCCUGCACGAAGUCGGAAUUGCUAGUAAUCGUGGAUCAGCAUGCCACGGUGAAUACGUUCCCGGGCCUUGCACUCACCGCCCGUCA